GACGAACGCUGGCGGCGUGCUUAACACAUGCAAGUCGAACGGAAAGGCCCUGCUUUUGUGGGGUGCUCGAGUGGCGAACGGGUGAGUAACACGUGAGUAACCUGCCCUUGACUUUGGGAUAACUUCAGGAAACUGGGGCUAAUACCGGAUAGGAGCUCCUGCUGCAUGGUGGGGGUUGGAAAGUUUCGGCGGUUGGGGAUGGACUCGCGGCUUAUCAGCUUGUUGGUGAGGUAGUGGCUUACCAAGGCUUUGACGGGUAGCCGGCCUGAGAGGGUGACCGGCCACAUUGGUACUGAGAUACGGCCCAGACUCCUACGGGAGGCAGCAGUGGGGAAUAUUGCACAAUGGGCGGAAGCCUGAUGCAGCAACGCCGCGUGCGGGAUGACGGCCUUCGGGUUGUAAACCGCUUUCGCCUGUGACGAAGCGUGAGUGACGGUAAUGGGUAAAGAAGCACCGGCUAACUACGUG
rnacentral:rRNA from 1 species